UUAAUAUGAAAAUUAAAAUUGUGAAAUUUUACAUAAUUUUUGUUGAAAUCUUUUGAAAUUUUGAAUAUUUAUUGCAUUUUUUGUUCUCUUUCUAACAAUAUAAGCAUUUUUUCAAAUUUUAUUUUUUUGCAUAACUUUUUAUUAUGUUUACAGGAUCAUAGAAAACACGAUUUUUUUUGUGUGUGUUAUGGCCAAUGCCCAAUGUCUAGCUAAUUUGCAACAUGACUGGCCACUUCUAUAUUUGGCCAAAUCCCAAAAUAUACAAGAAUUUACAUCUAUUUUGGACUUUGGCUGGCCAGUUUGCAAUGUGCCUGACAGUCAAUGGCUAAUUUGGCUUAGCAAAAAUGACCAAAGCCAGUAGAGCUAAGCAGCAGAAUGCAUUUGUGCAAAUUCUGCCUUAUUCACCAGCAAGAAUGAGAUUGUCUGUCAUGUCAUGUAUUGAUGUGACAGACAAUCCAUUCUCGCUGGUAAAUAAGCCAAAUUUCGACAGCAAUUUGAAUUUAUAUUUUUCGUUUGUUUUUCAAAAACGAUGUUUUUAUUAAUUCUUAGAGAGCCUCCUUAUAGUGGACUAAUGCCCCUUAGUAGGGUGCUCACAGUUUGGAAAACACUUCAUAUCUAUAUUGGAAAUAAUUUCAGUUUUCUAUUUGCUCAGCAAAUUCUAGUUUGCAUAUCACUGCUAUCCAGUGUUUCUCCUAUCAAUGCUUUAGUUAGUAAUUUUGAGAUCUCAAAAUACUGAUGCAAGAUAUUAUAGACCCACUAAUAUGAAUGGGAUUGUGUCUCAGAAUAAGGAAAAGGCUAGAGAUACUCUUUUGCAAGAUUUCUGUAACUAAUUUAUCAUAAUGCAUUAUGAAUUUAUU
rnacentral:lncRNA from 1 species